rnacentral:rRNA from 1 species
CCUACGGGUGGCAGCAGUGGGGAAUAUUGCACAAUGGGGGAAACCCUGAUGCAGCGACGCCGCGUGAGUGAAGAAGGAUUUCGGUAUGUAAAGCUCUAUCAGCAGGGAAGAAAAUGACGGUACCUGAUUAAGAACCCCCGUCUAACUACGUGCCAGCUGCCGCGGUAAUACGUAGGGGGCAAGCGUUAUCCGGAUUUACUGGGUGUAAAGGGAGCGUAGACGGCAGAACAAGUCUGGAGGGAAAUGCCGGGGCUUAACCCAGGAACUGCUUUGGAAACUGGGCAGCUAGAGUGCAGGAGAGGAAAGUGGAAUGCGUAGUGUAGCGGUGAAAUGCGUAGAUAUUACGAGGAACACCAGUGGCGAAGGCAGCUUACUGGACUGUAACUGACGUUGAGGCUCGAAAGCGUGGGGAGCAAACAGGAUUAGAUACCCGAGUAGUC